UACGUAGGGUGCAAGCGUUGUCCGGAAUUAUUGGGCGUAAAGAGCUCGUAGGCGGUCUGUCACGUCUGCUGUGAAAACUCGGGGCUUAACCCCGGGCCUGCAGUGGGGUACGGGCAGACUAGAGUGCGGUAGGGGAGACUGGAAUUCCUGGUGUAGCGGUGAAAUGCGCAGAUAUCAGGAGGAACACCGGUGGCGAAGGCGGGUCUCUGGGCCGUACAUGACGCUGAGGAGCGAAAGCGUGGGGAGCGAACAGG
rnacentral:rRNA from 1 species